CUUACCCCAUGUUGUUCAUACCUUGUCUUGUGUCCAUCAGGUGGCAGUGGAGUGUUGUGACCCUCUGGAGCGGUGCAAGGACUCUACUGAGGCUCUUGGUGGACACAGCAAGAACCCACAGCCAGAGACGGACGCCAAGAUCUGCUCCUUCCUCUCUCUGGCAAGCCCUGUUGUCUCCUGAGGUCGUUCCCACGCUUGCAGAGGUCCUAAGGGCUUGGUGUCGGUUGUCCCUUGUGCUCACCUUGCUGUCACCGGGUGUUCUUUCUUUGCCCAUCGUAGGGGUCCCCAGUUCUGAUGGGAUCUCAGCACCUUCUGCUGCUCUGAGAGAACACCGGUUUGUUCUCUUAUUUUCAGGUUCACUAUCAUUUCUUCAUGUUAUGCUGUGUUUCUCUUAGUUUCCUUUCUUUUCCAGGCUGCCAACUGAGGCCUCGUUGGAGUUUGAGUGACCCAAAUGCAGACUGCUACGCGUUGACCAAGGGUGAUGCCAAAAGAAGAGGUAGGCUCCAAAACAGGCUUCUGGUGAGGGCUGUGUAUAAUUUGGAGUUUUCCGGGAUGCCCACUACUCCUCCCUGCCCCAUUUUGUUCGCUUCCAUGUGUGAAGGUUUCUUUUUUCCUUCUAGGAUUGGGGACGUCAGCACCAGAUGCCGUUGCACUUCCUGACCUCCCC
ensembl:lncRNA